AUUGAACGCUGGCGGCAGGCCUAACACAUGCAAGUCGAGCGAGCGGCGGACGGGUGAGUAAUGUCUGGGAAACUGCCUGAUGGAGGGGGAUAACUACUGGAAACGGUAGCUAAUACCGCAUACCAUCCGACGUGACCCGAUGGGAUUAGCUAGUAGGUGGGGUAAUGGCUCACCUAGGCGACGAUCCCUAGCUGGUCUGAGAGGAUGAUCAGCCACACUGGGACUGAGACACGGCCCAGACUCCUACGGGAGGCAGCAGUGGGGAAUAUUGCACAAUGGGCGCAAGCCUGAUGCAGCCAUGCCGCGUGUAUGAAUAAGGCCUUUGGGUUGUAAAGUACUUUCAGUCGGGAGGCGUUACCGACAGAAGAAGCACCGGCUAACUCCGUGCCAGCAGCCGCGGUAAUUC
rnacentral:rRNA from 1 species